rnacentral:rRNA from 1 species
UACGUAGGGUGCAAGCGUUGUCCGGAAUUAUUGGGCGUAAAGAGCUCGUAGGCGGUUUGUCGCGUCUGCUGUGAAAACGCGAGGCUCAACCUCGCGCCUGCAGUGGGUACGGGCAGACUAGAGUGUGGUAGGGGAGACUGGAAUUCCUGGUGUAGCGGUGAAAUGCGCAGAUAUCAGGAGGAACACCGGUGGCGAAGGCGGGUCUCUGGGCAACAACUGACGCUGAGGAGCGAAAGCGUGGGGAGCGAACAGG